UAAAAAAACAGAGUACUCUGGAAAAUAGACCCAUCUCCCUCACGAUCUCACCCUAGAUAAAACUACCGCCGCCACAGCUUGCUGCUCCGGCAGGCCGGCACCACUCUCUCCGGCUACCUCUUCCACUCCUCCUCUUCGCCCCCUAGGCCAUAGCGCCUCCCCUUCUCCCGUGGCGGCACUAGGUCUCAUCCCUGCCACCGAGAACAGAGAAUCGCGAUGGCCUGCGACUGUGAUGCCAGCAGCCUGCGACUGUCCUUCGUCAGAUCGACCAAGCCCUCUUCGAGCACGAGCGCUUGCGACUCGUCGGAGGCCAAAGGAGGCGUCGCCUCAGCACCCGUGGAAGUCCCCGGUGAGAUCUAUCAGAAGUCGUUGAGCCAAUUUGAUACCCUCAAAGAUUUUCUCACAGGUUUCAGAGGUCAAAACCAAUUGUUCUUAGACUUCUGGACAGAUUUCAGUAGGGAAGUUAUCCACCAACAGAAGAGCACAUUUGUCCUUAUUCUUAUUAUCUUCAACGUCUCUCACAUUGAUCUCCAUCAACGGUGGUUCUUUGUGUUAUCAUAAUUAUCCUUAAUUUAGAUUUUAAGAUGCAUAGCUUGAUAUAAUCAAUUCUUAUGUAUUUGGUUAGUAGCAACUAUUUGUUUCGAACCAAGCUUAUAUCUACUCAUUGCACUAAUUAUCUCUAUACUUUUAAUUGCAGUAAUGUAUGUUGAACAUGAACAUAUCUGAUCGGCAUCCGCAUAUGGCCAUAUGGCUUCGAGAACCAAACUUUUGCACUGCCAUGUUUAUUCUCAGAGAAAAACUUUAUGGGAGAAUUUCGAA